UGGGAUCUUAAUGAGCUCACAGCUGCCAUUAUCGUUUCGCGCGUAGAUACUAUGAAAAAAACGAAUGUUCGGAUCAAGGAACGAAGGUUUCGAAAAGAAUCAAUUGCUGGUCUAGAUUUCACAACAGAUGUCCUGUCGCCUUAAAACAGCAUACACUUCCUGAGCGCUGAGGACUGAGCGCUUUUGCGUUUUCGGAACAAUGGAGAAGAUGCCUGAUGGAAACUUGUCGAGUGCCCUGACUUGAGUGACCCGACUGGUUCCCAAAUCGGCUUUAUCGACCACAAUGGCAAGAUCUUUCCGAUGCGUAAUAAGACUAUAAGCAUUGUUUUAAACAAAAAAAAAAAGCGUUUUUUUGGAUAUCGUUCACAUCGCUAACGAUGAGUGCUAUGGUCGCGUGGCUAUGAGUAACUGUGCAUUUACAUCAUUAUAACGAAUAUGACAGCGAGAAACCUGGAGGGGACCUGCUAGGUUUAUAGACUUAUUGCCUAAAAGAAAUCAACACCUAGUAUCUGCUAUCAACAAUGAGCAGAUCAGAGUGCGAUAUAAUUCUGCAUUGAAAUUAUCAGCUGCUGUCGGCAACCGCCACUUUCGUGCCGUCUGACCACGCCGUAGACCACUCGAGCCUGCCUGAUUACGGCAUCCGGGAAUUAGCAAACGCGAGGUUUUCACUUUCGGAUGAUGACAGAAGGAUACGUUUAUAGACGGCAUAGUUAAAACAAAUUCUCAAUUUCUUAUUGUUACAAGCUGAAUGAAAAUAUAAAAAAAUAAGAACAGGAAAAGCCAAGUCAAUACUGGUAAAAUAAAUGACCAUAUUUUUGGAUAGAGUUUUUCAAAGAGCA